rnacentral:rRNA from 1 species
AUUGAACGCUGGCGGCAGGCCUAACACAUGCAAGUCGAACGAGUGGCGGACGGGUGAGUAAUGUAUGGGACACUGCCCGAUGGAGGGGGAUAACUACUGGAAACGGUAGCUAAUACCGCAUACCAUCGGGUGUGCCCAGAUGGGAUUAGCUAGUAGGAGGGGUAACGGCACACCUAGGCGACGACCCCUAGCUGGUCUGAGAGGAAGACCAGCCACACUGGAACUGAGACACGGUCCGGACUCCUACGGGAGGCAGCAGUGGGGAAUAUUGCACAAUGGGCGCAAGCCUGAUGCAGCCAUGCCGCGUGUAUGAAGAAGGCCUUCGGGUUGUAAAGUACUUUCAGCGAGGAGGCGUUACUCGCAGAAGAAGCAUCGGCUAACUCCGUGCCAGCAGCCGCGGUAAUUC